rnacentral:rRNA from 1 species
AGCAUAUCAAUAAGCGGAGGAAAAGAAACUAACAAGGAUUCCCCUAGUAACGGCGAGCGAAGCGGGAAGAGCUCAAAUUUGAAAGCUGGCGUCUCCGGCGUCCGCGUUGUAAUCUCGAGACGUGUUUUCCGUGCGGCUCUAUGGACAAGUCCCUUGGAACAGGGCAUCGUAGAGGGUGAAAAUCCCGUACUUGCCAUGGAAGUACCGUGCUUUGUGAUACACGCUCCAAGAGUCGAGUAGUUUGGGAUUGCUGCUCAAAGUGGGUGGUAGACUCCAUCUAAAGCUAAAUAUCGGGGAGAGACCGAUAGCGAACAAGUACCGUGAGGGAAAGAUGAAAAGCACUUUGGAAAGAGAGUUAAAAGUACGUGAAAUUGUCGAAAGGGAAGCACUUGAAGU